rnacentral:rRNA from 1 species
CCAGACUCCUACGGGAGGCAGCAGUGGGGAAUAUUGCACAAUGGGGGGAACCCUGAUGCGGCGACGCCGCGUGAGUGAAGAAGUAUUUCGGUAUGUAAAGCCCUAUCAGCAGGGAAGAAAAUGACGGUACCUGACUAAGAAGCCCCGGCUAACUACGUGCCAGCAGCCGCGGUAAUACGUAGGGGGCAAGCGUUAUCCGGAUUUACUGGGUGUAAAGGGAGCGUAGACGGUUAUGCAAGUCUGAAGUGAAAGCCCAAGGCUCAACCAUGGGACUGCUCUGGAAACUGUGGAGCCUGAGUGCGGGAGGGGCAGGCGGAAUUCCUAGUGUAGCGGUGAAAUGCGUAGAUAUUAGGAGGAACACCGGCGGCGAAGGCGGCCUGCUGGACCGUAACUGACGUUGAGGCUCGAAAGCGUGGGGAGCAAACAGGAUUAGAUACCCUAGUAU